rnacentral:rRNA from 1 species
AAUCCAUAGGUUAAUGAGGCGAACCGGGGGAACUGAAACAUCUAAGUACCCCGAGGAAAAGAAAUCAACCGAGAUUCCCCCAGUAGCGGCGAGCGAACGGGGAGGAGCCCAGAGCCUGAAUCAGCAUGUGUGUUAGUGGAAGCGUCUGGAAAGGCGCGCGAUACAGGGUGACAGCCCCGUACACAAAAGCGCAUGUGCUGUGAGCUCGAUGAGUAGGGCGGGACACGUGGUAUCCUGUCUGAAUAUGGGGGGACCAUCCUCCAAGGCUAAAUACUCCUGACUGACCGAUAGUGAACCAGUACCGUGAGGGAAAGGCGAAAAGAACCCCGGCGAGGGGAGUGAAAAAGAACCUGAAACCGUGUACGUACAAGCAGUGGGAGCACAGGUUUACCUGUGUGACUGCGUACCUUUUGUAUAAUGGGUCAGCGACUUAUAUUCUGUAGCAAGGUUAACCGAAUAGGGGAGCCGGAGGGAAACCGAGUCUUAAUUGGGCGUUAAGUUGCAGGGUAUAGACCCGAAACCCGGUGAUCUAGCCAUGGGCAGGUUGAAGGUUGGGUAACACUAACUGGAGGACCGAACCGACUAAUGUUGAAAAAUUAGCGGAUGACCUGUGGCUGGGGGUGAAAGGCCAAUCAAACCGGGAGAUAGCUGGUUCUC